rnacentral:rRNA from 1 species
GAUGAACGCUGGCGGCGUGCCUAAUACAUGCAAGUAGAACGCUGAAGGAGGAGCUUGCUCUUCUGGAUGAGUUGCGAACGGGUGAGUAACGCGUAGGUAACCUGCCUGGUAGCGGGGGAUAACUAUUGGAAACGAUAGCUAAUACCGCAUGACAACAGUUAUUGCAUGAUAACUGUUUAAAAGGGGCAACUGCUCCACUACCAGAUGGACCUGCGUUGUAUUAGCUAGUUGGUGAGGUAACGGCUCACCAAGGCGACGAUACAUAGCCGACCUGAGAGGGUGAUCGGCCACACUGGGACUGAGACACGGCCCAGACUCCUACGGGAGGCAGCAGUAGGGAAUCUUCGGCAAUGGACGGAAGUCUGACCGAGCAACGCCGCGUGAGUGAAGAAGGUUUUCGGAUCGUAAAGCUCUGUUGUAAGAGAAGAACGAGUGUGAGAGCGGAAAGUUCACACUGUGACGGUAUCUUACCAGAAAGGGACGGCUAACUACGUG